rnacentral:rRNA from 1 species
AUUCUCAGUUCGGAUUGUAGGCUGAAACUCGCCUACAUGAAGCUGGAGUUACUAGUAAUCGCAGAUCAGAAUGCUGCGGUGAAUGCGUUCCCGGGUCUUGUACACACCGCCCGUCACACCAUGGGAGUCGGAAAUGCCCGAAGUCAGUGACCCAACCGUAAGGAGGGAGCUGCCGAAGGUGGAGCCGGUAACUGGGGUGAAGUCGUAACAAGGUAUC